rnacentral:rRNA from 1 species
GACGAACGCUGGCGGCGUGCUUAACACAUGCAAGUCGAACGAAGUGGCGAACGGGUGAGUAACGCGUAAUCAACCUGCCCUUCAGAGGGGGACAACAGUUGGACACGACUGCUAAUACCGCAUACUGAAGGAGGGGAUUGCGUGUGAUUAGCUAGUUGGAGGGGUACCGGCCCACCAAGGCGAGGAUCAGUAGCCGGGCGGAGAGGAUGAACGGCCAGAGUGGGACUGAGACACGGUCCAGACUCCUACGGGAGGCAGCAGUGGGGAAGCUUUCGCAAUGGACGAAAGUCUGACGGGGCAACGCCGCGGGAGUGAUGACGGGAUUCGGGUUGUAAAGCUCUGUUAAUCGGGACGCGGUACCGGAAUAGAAAGCCACGGCUAACUACGUGCCAGCCGCCGCGGUAAUUC